GAUGAACGCUGGCGGCGUGCCUAAUACAUGCAAGUCGAGCGAACAGACGAGGAGCUUUCUCCCCUGCCGUUAGCGGCGGACGGGCGAGUAACACGUGGAUAACCUUCCUCUUAGACUGGGAUAACUUCGGGAAACCGGAGCUACUACCGGAUAAUAUAUUGAACCGCUUGGUUCAAUAGUGAAAGACGGUUUUCCUGUCUCAUAUAGACGGAUCCGCGCCGCAUUAGCUAGUUGGUAAGGUAACGGCUUACCAAGGCGACGAUGCGUAGCCGACCUGAGAGGGUGAUCGGCCACACUGGAACUGAGACACGGUCCAGACUCCUACGGGAGGCAGCAGUGGGGAAUCUUGCACAAUGGGCGAAAGCCUGACGGAGCAACGCCGCGUGAGUGAUGAAGGUCUUCGGAUCGUAAAACUCUGUUAUUAGGAAAGAACAAAAGUGGAAGUAACUAUGCACGUCCUGACGGUACCUAAUCAAAAAGCAACGGCUAACUACGUG
rnacentral:rRNA from 1 species